AGAUGGCGGCCGGCGCACGGGUGAGUAACACGUAUCCAACCUGCCGAUAACUCGGGGAUAGCCUUUCGAAAGAAAGAUUAAUACCCGAUGGUAUAAUCAGACCGCAUGGUUUGAUUAUUAAAGAAUUUCGGUUAUCGAUGGGGAUGCGUUCCAUUAGGCAGUUGGUGAGGUAACGGCUCACCAAACCUUCGAUGGAUAGGGGUUCUGAGAGGAAGGUCCCCCACAUUGGAACUGAGACACGGUCCAA
rnacentral:rRNA from 1 species